rnacentral:rRNA from 1 species
GGGGGGCUGCUCCUAGUACGAGAGGACCGGAGUGGACGCAUCACUGGUGUUCGGGUUGUCAUGCCAAUGGCACUGCCCGGUAGCUAAAUGCGGAAGAGAUAAGUGCUGAAAGCAUCUAAGCACGAAACUUGCCCCGAGAUGAGUUCUCCCUGAGACUUUAGGUCUCCUGAAGGAACGUUGAAGACGACGACGUUGAUAGGCCGGGUGUGUAAGCGCAGCGAUGCGUUGAGCUAACCGGUACUAAUGAACCGUGAGGCUUAACCUUACAACGCCGAAG